rnacentral:rRNA from 1 species
UACGUAGGGUGCAAGCGUUAAUCGGAAUUACUGGGCGUAAAGCGUGCGCAGGCGGUUUUGUAAGUUUGUCGUGAAAUCCCCGGGCUCAACCUGGGAAUGGCAUUGGAUACUGGCUCGCUAGAGUGCGGUAGAGGGUGGUGGAAUUCCCGGUGUAGCAGUGAAAUGCGUAGAGAUCGGGAGGAACAUCUGUGGCGAAGGCGGCUUUCUGGACAGAUACCGACGCUGAGGCACGAAAGCUAGGGGAGCAAACAGG